rnacentral:rRNA from 1 species
GCGGGUCAGGGCGUGUCUCAAGGGCUGUGUUUUUUCUCGUCCGUCUGCCCGACGCGAGCUAGGGUAGGGAGGGUGAGCUGGGGAGGAGAUAAGACAGCGAGGCGGAUCCCAAGGAGGAUUGGCGGCGGCGGCGGCCAGGAGUCCAGGGGGCGAGGAGCUGUUCCGGUAGAGGCCGCUGUACCGGUUGUCCAUCCGGAUGUAGAAGGUGGGGUCGAGGGUGCCCGCGCCGGGGAGGGAGCCCGCGUAGGGGAGGCAGGGGCCACAGGUCGUUGUCGAGGACCGGGCCAGGCCGGUCCCGAGGUGAGGCCACCUGCCGCUGGGGAAAGGGGGAGGGGAGGAGGACCGGCACUCGGUGGUUCUACUUUCGUGUUACCCUAUUACACCUCUCGGAAAGAGUGGUGGUACGUGGGUAACUACUACCAUGAUACCCAAGGUAGGCACUACGAUAACGAUGUUCACAAAAGGGAACUACCAAUCGAGAUCCCACAUACGAAAAUAACCCUCUUGGUACAUUAUUAAAUGUCUAGAAAAAAUAAGUCAUGAAGAAGAGUUCAUGAGCAUGAUGCACUCUGUCGCUACGUACAUACUAUAAGCAUACGUUCUGUUACUAGAAGGAGUACAAACUAAUAUUGUACAACACCACAAACUUUCAGUUUAAAUACAAGUAUACCCG